AUGUAGCUUAAUUAAAGCAUCUCGCUUACACCGAGAAUAUGUCUGUUAAACUCGGAUCAUCUUGAG
rnacentral:tRNA from 1 species